CUUGGAUCAUUUUAUCACUUAACUUUUUAUGAGUGUGUAGCUCUUCUUAACCAGCCAUUAAGUUCAUUCAGAAAUCACGAAUUUUAGAACUGUCUUAUGUUCCCUCUAAUAUCCAGCCCAUUGUUGUCUCUACAGGACCUUCAUCACUGAACACUUGUGAAAUAAGGGUAGGUCUGUGCUCAUGCUGUUGGACACUGGCAGCAGGGCCGAUCCCUCUGCAUUCACAGCCCUCCCACUCACUGCCUUUGGCCAGCCUACCCUCAUUGCCGUGUCCCGCUUGCCCCCGCUUGAUGAAAACAGCUUUCAGGAUCUGCCUCGAAGUGAGUGAGACCACUUUGUUAACAACGUCACCGCCUUUAGAUUUGCAAUCCUCUACCUGACUUUUGCAAGGCCAAUAAACCAAACAGUUGAUAAUACUUGGAAGUGGAUGACUCAAUCUUAAUGCUCCCACGAUUGCUGCUACUACUCUUACCAAACUCCAUGACAGUCAGCCCCUCCUACCUUCCAGAGUGAAAUCCUUUAGGAAUAACAGCGUUUUGAGCGCUUGCAAGCCACAGGGACUGUCGCUAUGGGUGAGCCACCUCCCCUCGAGGGAGCUGGGA